UACGAAGGGUGCAAGCGUUACUCGGAAUUACUGGGCGUAAAGGGUGCGUAGGUGGUCGUUUAAGUCCGUUGUGAAAUCCCUGGGCUCAACCUGGGAAUGGCAGUGGAUACUGGACGGCUGGAGUGCGGUAGAGGGUAGUGGAAUUCCCGGUGUAGCAGUGAAAUGCGUAGAGAUCGGGAGGAACACCAGUGGCGAAGGCGGCUACCUGGACCAGCACUGACACUGAAGCACGAAAGCGUGGGGAGCAAACAGGAUUAGAUACCCUGGUAGUCCACGCCCUAAACGAUGCGAACUGGACGUUGGGAGCAACUUGGCUCUCAGUGUCGAAGCUAACGCGUUAAGUUCGCCGCCUGGGGAGUACGGUCGCAAGACUGAAACUCAAAG
rnacentral:rRNA from 1 species